CCUACGGGUGGCUGCAGUGGGGAAUAUUGCACAAUGGGGGAAACCCUGAUGCAGCGACGCCGCGUGAGCGAUGAAGUAUUUCGGUAUGUAAAGCUCUAUCAGCAGGGAAGAAAAUGACGGUACCUGACUACGACGCCCCGGCUAACUACGUGCCAGCCGCCGCGGUAAUCCGUAGGGGGCAAACGUUAUCCGGAUUUACUGGGUGUAAAGGGAGCGUAGACGGCUGUGCAAGCCAGAUGUGAAAGCCCGGGGCUCAACCCCGGGACUGCAUUUGGAACUGUGUGGCUGGAGUGUCGGAGAGGCAGGCGGAAUUCCUAGUGUAGCGGUGAAAUGCGUAGAUAUUAGGAGGAACAACAGUGGCGAAGGCGGCCUGCUGGACGAUGACUGACGUUGAGGCUCGAAAGCGUGGGGAGCAAACAGGAUUAGAUACCCGGGUAGUC
rnacentral:rRNA from 1 species